rnacentral:rRNA from 1 species
AUUGAACGCUGGCGGCAGGCCUAACACAUGCAAGUCGAACGAGUGGCGGACGGGUGAGUAAUGUCUGGGAAACUGCCUGAUGGAGGGGGAUAACUACUGGAAACGGUAGCUAAUACCGCAUACAAUCGGUUGGGCCCCGAUGGGAUUAGCUAGUAGGUGGGGCAAAGGCUCACCUAGGCGACCAUCCCUAGCUGGUCUGAGAGGAUGACCAGCCACACUGGAACGGAGAAACGGCCCAGACUCCUACGGGAGGCAGAAGUGGGAAAUAGUGCACAAGGGGCGCAAGCUUGAUGCAGCCAUGCCGCGUGUAUCAAGAGGGCCUUCGGGUUGUAAGGUACUUUCAGCGGGGAGGCGUUACCCGCAGAAGAAGCACCGGCUAACUCCGUGCCAGCCGCCGCGGUAAUAC